CGGGGCGUGGCGCAGCCUGGUAGCGCGUCUGCUUUGGGAGCAGAAAGCCGGGGGUUCAAAUCCCUCCGCCCCGA
rnacentral:tRNA from 2 species